AAUUUUGGACAAUGGGGGAAACCCUGAUCCAGCCAUACCGCGUGGGUGAAGAAGGCCUUCGGUUUGUAAAGCCCUUUUGUUGGGAAAGAAAAGCAGCCGGUUAAUACCCGGUUGUUCUGACGCUACCCAUAGAAUAAGCACCUGCUAACUUCGUGCCAGCAGCCGCGGUAAUACGAAGGCUGCAAGCGUUACACGGAAUUCCUGGGCGUAAAGCGUGCGUAUGUGGUUGUUUAAGUCUGUCGUGAAAGCCCUGGGCUCAACCUGGGGAUGGCGAUGGAAACUGGGCGACUAGAGUGUGGCAGAGGGUAGUGGAAUUCCUGGUGUAGCAGUGAAAUGCGUAGAGAUCAGGAGGAACAUCCGUGGCGAAGGCGACUGCCUGGGCCAACACUGACACUGAGGCACGAAAGCGUGGGGAGCAAACAGG
rnacentral:rRNA from 1 species